ensembl:lncRNA
CAAAUACUUUGUAAGACUCUCUACAGAGCCAUUCCCCAAGUUACCUCUCUAUGCUAGGCUGCAGCUGCCCACUGAUGCCAAACCAUGAGUGGGGUUUAGUGGAUGGGAGAAGGAGGUGAAGUGAAAGAAAUGUUUGCUUGUGAGACCACUAGCAUUCAUGGAAUGCUGCUGACAGAUGGCUGCCAAGGUUAUAAGGGUAUUUAUCACUUAAGGAGAUAAAUCAUUGCUGUGUCCUCCCAAAAUGAUGUUGCAUCUUUGAACUUCUUCCUGAAUAAAGCUCUUCUUGUUUUCUGCUAGGCUCUGCAUUGGCGAUUGAAGGAACAGUGCCUGACUAAUGACGCUGGACAGCAAGGAAAUACAAUUGUCCUGGAAGAGCUGGCAGGCUGUUGAAAUGUCAGAUGGUAAAAACAACCAAGAGUUCCAGAUGGGGCAGUCGGAAGAGAAACAUGCUGAAGAUGGUAAUGGAAAACUUCUGGAUUCUCUCAGCUGGGAGUCCCAUGUCCUCACCUGUGACUUCCCAGCCCAAUCACUGCUCAAGCCUUAUGCAAAGCAGUAUGCCUUGAGGAAGUUCUUCAUAACCAGGGCAUCAAAACUUGAAGCAAUCAUUUCUUCUUCAGAGCAUGAAUUCUGUGAUCAGACUGAGUGUCUGAGAGUGGCUUCACUAAAAGAUGACACCCAAAAAGUCGGCUUGCAAUAAAAUCAAGUCUGACACCACAAAUUCUAAGCGGCUUUGGAAAAUAACUUCCAGAACUACAGCUAAUUAUUUGCAAUUCUCUGGGAGUGCUCAUCCGAGACAGCCCAAAGUGCUUCCCGGAUCUCGCAUACAGCGUAGCGUUCAGGUGCCAUAGUCUCAGCUGGGGAAAUUGUCGCUGUUCAGGAGCAGAAGUCUCACCAAAUGUCCAAUGAAAUCAUUUAAACGCUGGAUAUAUUUUACAUCUGAAAAUAUUAAGGCUACUAGUUAGGUUCCUAAGUUACGUACCAAGCCUGUUUAGUUGUUGGCUUGGAGAUCUUUGCAAUAUAAGCCAGCUUAGUUAAUGAGUGCAGAUCUGUGUUAUUAGUUACCCCAAAUCAGCUGGACAAGCUGCUGGCUUUCAUUUCUGAGACAUGGGACUGAAUAUGCUCAAUCUCCUGCAAAAGGAAUGAAGAGUCAUUCUGUCAAUUCUCUUCCUGCCAGCUGAUGCCAGGGUCAGAGAAGUAGGUCACACCUUCCUGGUUUUGAGAUGGAGCAAUACUCAUUUUAGACCAAUUUGCUCUGAGCACGGAGCUCAUCUGCUGGGUUGAACCAAGGCAUUGUUGCUUUCUCUAGUGCAUUGUUCUGCUCUCCCUCUAAUUAGCUCCAAAUGUUUCUUAUGCCUGGAACACAGUGGUAGUGAUGAAUAAUGGGCUCUCUUCUCUUAACCCUUUGACCCCUCAUUCGGCUGUGCACUCCCACCUAGAUGCUUUCGCUUUCCUACAUGCACCGGCGCUGUGGCAGUCUGACAGCUGCCUGUAUCAGACUCGCUGACCCAUAACCUCCUCCCUCCUCUUCUGUGAAUUGAGCAGGGGAGUGCAGGAGCAUGGUCUUAUCUCCAGCAAUUAUGUUUAUGAUCACGGUGGGCGCUUUGUGCAAGUGCACACGAAGGUGCACCCCCUGUGCUGCUGGUCGUGGAAAGGUGAAGAACCACUGUCACUCUGGGCCUUCUGCUUUGGAGGUGACCCGCCAGGAGAAGUAGUACAACUUGUUGAUUUGCAGAUCUGCUGGUUUGCAGAACUGCUCUGGUUACGCGCCAGCAGAAGAAGAGAGGCAUUGUAGGCUGAUCCUAGAAGAUGGGUUUUAACUGCUGAUUACUUUGGCUAAACAGGAGCCCCCCUCAUACGUGGUUUCUUUAUUGGGGUAGGGUGCAGACAUUUGAGAUCACGUGUGAACAGACAUGGGAGUUCAAGCUUGAAGAAAGGAAUAACACCCAUAAGGGUCUUACGUGGGGCUGGGGUUAGUGGGAGGAAGAAGAGGAGACUUGCUGCACAUGAUUCAUGGGGAGAGAUGCUUGGAGGAGGUUGGACCAGGGCAUGUUCUUGUCCUACAAAACAGUGUGAUGUAGAAACACAUUCUGUCACAUUCCUUCUCACAGCAGACCCUCUUGCUUUAAUUUGUGGGUUGUUGUUGUUUUUCAUUUGUUUUUCCAAUUCAGAAAACCGAGCCGUCAGCCCAGCACGCUGGGCUCCCCCUCACUGCAGCAGGCAGACAGCUUUUUGGAGGCCUGGCAGACGUCACCUGGGCCAGCACCCGCACUUCAGCACAUGUGGCCGUCAUCCACUGCUCGGAGCAGCAUGUCACAUCUAUGUCUGCAGUGUGUUGCAGUGAGCGCCCUCCGUCACUGACAGCACCUUUCAGCCUUGACAAAACACUUAAAAACAUCUGCAAGCCCUCCCUCCGCAGAGGAGCACGAGCGCCGUAUGCUUCUGCUGCUCUCUGCGUGCUCUCUACCUGCCUCACUCCUGCAGCAAAGUGCCCCUGAGUUACUGCAAAGGCCAGCACGCUGUCAUCGCGUGCUGUCUGUUUUAUAACUGUCCACUCUUGUAAAGCACUGACAUUUGGGUAGGUUGGAAAUAGUUUGUAGCUGAAACAGCACCGCUUUGUGCCUCUGGUGGGAAAGGCUGAGCUUUUGUUUAUGUUGGUGUUGUCUGUCCUACAGCACACAAGGGCUGGGCUGAGGCUGGGGGUGUUUCUGCGGUGUGAUGCUUUCAGAUGCUUGAGUCACAGGUCUGUCUUUGUCUGCGCAGCUCCCCCGGAGCUGUAUCCAGUAUAAAUUCCUUUUCCUUCAAUAAAGAUCUCCCUGUGGCCCA